ACACUCAUGUUUCACCUCAAAUCGUAUAAAUCUUUCGCUUUUUUACUAAAGAUUUCCGUGGGGAGGAACGUUAUGAGUAUAAAGCAAUUUUUGAUGCUCCACUUUCUGUACUGUUGA